AUUGAACGCUGGCGGCAGGCCUAACAAAUGCAAGUCGAACGAGUGGCGGACGGGUGAGUAAUGUCUGGGAAACUGCCCGAAGGAGGGGGAUAACUACUGGAAACGGUAGCUAAUACCGCAUACCAUCGGAUGUGCACAGAUGGGAUUAGCGAGUAGGUGGGGUAACGGCUCACCUAGGCGACGAUCCCUAGCUGGUCUGAGAGGAUGACCGACCACACUGGAACUUAGACACGUGCCAGACUCCUCCGGAAUGCGGCAUUGGUGAAUUUUGCACAAGAGGCGCAAGCCUGAUGCAGCCAUGCCGCGUGUAUGAAGAAGUCCUUCGGGUUGUAAAGUUCUUUCAGCGUGGAGGCGUUACUCACAGAAGAAGCACCGGCUAACUCCGUGCCAGCAGCCGCGGUAAUUC
rnacentral:rRNA from 1 species